AUUGCAGGACACAUUGAACAUCGACAUUUUGAACGCAUAUUGCGGCCAAGGGGCAAUCUCUUGGCCACGCCCGUCUGAGGGUCGGCA
rnacentral:rRNA from 1 species